CAGUCGCCACGGGAAUACGUAGGGUGCAAGCGUUAAUCGGAAUUACUGGGCGUAAAGCGUGCGCAGGCGGUCCGCUAAGACAGAUGUGAAAUCCCCGGGCUUAACCUGGGAACUGCAUUUGUGACUGGCGGGCUAGAGUAUGGCAGAGGGGGGUAGAAUUCCACGUGUAGCAGUGAAAUGCGUAGAGAUGUGGAGGAAUACCGAUGGCGAAGGCAAUCCCCUGGGCCUGCACUGACGCCCAUGCACGAAAGCGUGGGGAGCAAACAGGAUUAGAUACCCGUGUAGUCCCUGUCUCUUAUAC
rnacentral:rRNA from 1 species